UUGACCUCAGAUCAGGCAAGGCUACCCGCUGAAUUUAAGCAUAUUAAUAAGCGGAGGAAAAGAAACU
rnacentral:rRNA from 3 species